rnacentral:rRNA from 1 species
GAUGAACGCUGGCGGCGUGCCUAAUACAUGCAAGUCGAGCGAACGGACGAGAAGCUUGCUUCUCUGAUGUUAGCGGCGGACGGGUGAGUAACACGUGGAUAACCUACCUAUAAGACUGGGACAACUUCGGGAAACCGGAGCUAAUACCGGAUAAUAUUUUGAACCGCAUGGUUCAAAAGUGAAAGACGGUCUUGCUGUCACUUAUAGAUGGAUCCGCGCUGCAUUAGCUAGUUGGUAAGGUAACGGCUUACCAAGGCAACGAUGCAUAGCCGACCUGAGAGGGUGAUCGGCCACAGUGGAAGUGAGACACGGUCCAGACUCCUAGGGGAGGCAGCAGUAGGGAAUUCUCCGAAAGGGGCGAAAGUCUGACGGAGACACGACGCGUGAGUGAUGAAGGUUUUCGGAUCGUAACACUCUGUUAUUAGGAAAGAAAAUAUGUGUAAGUAACUGUGCACAUCGUGACGGUACAAAAUCAGAAAGCCACGGAUAACCACG